rnacentral:rRNA from 1 species
UAUGCGGGGCUUCUUGCUCUGCAAUUGGAAUGAGAACAAUUUAAAUCACUUAACGAGUAUCAAUUGGAGGGCAAGUCUGGUGCCAGCAGCCGCGGUAAUUCCAGCUCCAAUAGCGUAUAUGUAAGUUGUUGCGAUUAAAAAGCCCGUAGCUGAACCUCGGGCAACCCUGACGGUCCGCGUUUCGUGAGUACUGUCGUGGGUUGUCUUUCUGGCAAGACCGUAUCUCGGUGUUAACUCGCCGGGAACGGCGCUUGCCAAGGUUACUUUGAGUAAAAUAGAGUGUUCAAAGCAAGCUCGCGCUCUGAAUACACUAGCAUGGGAUAACACGACAUGACCGAUGGUCUAUCUUGUUGGCCUGUAGACCUGUUGGUAAUGGCUAAUAGGGACGGUCGGGGGCAUUCGUAUUUCGCUGUCAGAGGUGAAAUUCUUGGAUUUGCGAAAGACGAACUACUGCGAAAGCAUUUGCCAAGGACGCUUUCAUUAGUCAAGGACGAAAGUCGGGGAUCGAAGACGAU